GUUAUUUCAUGCUUUUGACGUGCAGUUUCAUACUCUUAAGCCUGCUUUGAGUUGUGGGUUAGAAGGAGCCACCUUCUAGCUAGCAGUUUUAGAAGGCUGAACCCCAGAAUCCAGAAACAAGAACCGAGCAGGGACGGAGAAAAAAGAAGAAUCCAAAUGGGAAAUGAGAUAAGGCCUCUUCAUUUUCAACUGUGAAGGAUCUACAUGGACUUGGUCUGGAUAGCCUUUCCAGUUUUGAUGAGCCAGUCGGGUCUAGAGGAAAAACCCUAUAUGAGCCCCAGGAUUUUAUGUGGUAUGUAAACGUUCGAAAAACGCCGAAGAGCCCCGUAUAAGAGCCCCAGUGUGAUAGGCUGGUUGCUGUCAUGUGACACACGCCACCACAAGAAAGCGGAAACGCAUCGUAGAGCGAGAGCUGGCCGUGUGGGGUAAGAUCCUUGCUCCUGAUAUCCUGAUGUAUGGGUUGCACUUCAUUAUAUGACUCCAACAGAACACUCACAGAAAGGAGAGUAGUAUCAAACUACAAGACAGCCAGCAUCUGUGUUAUGGAGUGCAUCCUCACAUCAUGGUCUACUGCAGCGGUGGAUACAGAGGACAAUUGGCAGGUUGUCAGCUGUUUGGUUAUCCCCAAAGCAGAAAGACAUGCCAGGAAGGAGCAAGGCAAAGCCCGGGGAUUUUUCUGCAGCUGUUCCUGCCCGUUAUAGAAGGACUGCUCCUGAGAAUAGAUGGGUGUCUACAUCGUUUUGCAAAAUGGGUCUUCUACACAUGAUGUUUGUCAAGCACUGCUCAUUGACUGGCCAGGGGUCCUCUGUAUUGUGACCACUGGUCAAAGGCGCCACAUGACUGUCUCAAAGUCCUCUACAUCAUUCCGGUGACGGGACUUCUGGCCUAGUCUGACAGGAUGGGUCUUGUGUUACUGUGACCAGACGGCUCAACAAUGCAUCAUUCUCAUCCAUGCCCUCAUCGCCUCAAGACUGGAGUACAGCAUUCUCUAUGGUCUUGAAAAAUAUUACUGUCUUUAUUAUUAUUAUUAUUAUUAUUAUUAUUAUUAUUAUUAUUACAGGUCUCUCUGCACCCGAACCAGCAGGUUCAGAGGAAGCUUCUUUUCUGUGGCUGUCACCCGACUGGACUGUAGCUCUGUAUCCCGUGGUGUAUACUACGAAUCUCGAUUAGUCGGUUAGCGAGGUAUGUUGCGCUCAAAGCCAGGGUAUGCUGUGACACGAAAGUGGAUCUGUUUUAGUGUCGCUGUAUCACCAUGGUA